AAGCAGGGGAUCGUAAGACCUUGCGCUUUUGGAGUGGCCGAUGCCUGAUUAGCUAGUUGGUGGGGUAAGGGCCUACCAAGGCGACGAUCAGUAGUUGGUCUGAGAGGACGACCAGCCACACUGGGACUGAGACACGGCCCAGACUCCUACGGGAGGCAGCAGUGGGGAAUUUUGGACAAUGGGCGAAAGCCUGAUCCAGCAAUGCCGCGUGAGUGAAGAAGGCCUUCGGGUUGUAAAGCUCUUUCAGUCGAGAAGAAAAGGUUGCGACUAAUAAUCGCAACUUAUGACGGUAUCGACAGAAGAAGCACCGGCUAACUACGUGCCAGCAGCCGCGGUAAUACGUAGGGUGCGAGCGUUAAUCGGAAUUACUGGGCGUAAAGGGUGCGCAGGCGGCUCUGUAAGUCAGAUGUGAAAUCCCCGGGCUUAACCUGGGAAUUGCGUUUGAAACUACAAGGCUUAG
rnacentral:rRNA from 1 species